rnacentral:rRNA from 1 species
GAUGGACGCUGGCGGCGUGCCUAAUACAUGCAAGUCGAGCGAACAGAUGAGGAGCUUGCUCCUCUGACGUUAGCGGCGGACGGGUGAGUAACACGUGGAUAACCUACCUAUAAGACUGGGAUAACUUCGGGAAACCGGAGCUAAUACCGGAUAAUAUAUUGAACCGCAUGGUUCAAUAGUGAAAGACGGUUUUGCUGUCACUUAUAGAUGGAUCCGCGCCGCAUUAGCUAGUUGGUAAGGUAACGGCUUACCAAGGCAACGAUGCGUAGCCGACCUGAGAGGGUGAUCGGCCACACGGGAAUGGAGACAGGGCCCAGACCCCUAGGGGGGGCAGGAGGGGGAAAUCUUCCGCAAGGGGCGAAAGCCUGACGGGGCAACCCCGGGGGAGGGAGGAAGGUUUUGGGAUCGAAAAACUUUGUUAUUGGGAAAAAAAAAAUGGUAAAUUAAUUAUGACCGUUUGGCGGGGCCCUAAGCAAAAAGCCACGGCAAACUACGG